GACGAACGCUGGCGGCGUGCUUAACACAUGCAAGUCGAACGGUAAGGCCCUUCGGGGUACACGAGUGGCGAACGGGUGAGUAACACGUGGGUGAUCUGCCCUGCACUUCGGGAUAAGCCUGGGAAACUGGGUCUAAUACCGGAUAGGACCACUGCCUGCAUGGGUGGUGGUGGAAAGCUUUUGCGGUGUGGGAUGGGCCCGCGGCCUAGCAGCUUGUUGGUGGGGUGAUGGCAUACCAAGGCGACGAAGGGUAGCCGGCCUGAGAGGGUGACCGGCCACACUGGGACUGAGAUACGGGCCAGACUCCUACGGGAGGCAGCAGUGGGGAAUAGUGCACCAUGGGCGCAAGCCUGAUGCAGCGACGCCGCGUGAGGGAUGACGGCCUUCGGGUUGUAAACCUCUUUCAGCACCGACGAAGCGCAAGUGACGGUAGGUGCAGAAGAAGGACCGGCCAACUACGUGCCAGCCGCCGCCGUAA
rnacentral:rRNA from 1 species